rnacentral:rRNA from 1 species
AGGUGACCUGCGGAGGGAUCAUUACACAACAAAAUAUGAAGGCCUGGCUUCGCGGCCGGCUGAAAUAUUUUUUUCACCCAUGUCUUUUGCGCACUUGUUGUUUCCUGGGCGGGUUCGCCCGCCACCAGGACCAAACCAUAAACCUUUUUUUUAUGCAGUUGCAAUCAGCGUCAGUAAAAACAAUGUAAUUAUUACAACUUUCAACAACGGAUCUCUUGGUUCUGGCAUCGAUGAAGAACGCAGCGAAAUGCGAUACGUAGUGUGAAUUGCAGAAUUCAGUGAAUCAUCGAAUCUUUGAACGCACAUUGCGCCCUUUGGUAUUCCAAAGGGCAUGCCUGUUCGAGCGUCAUUUGUACCUUCAAGCUUUGCUUGGUGUUGGGCGUUUUUUGUCUCCCUCUUUCUGGGAGACUCGCCUUAAAACGAUUGGCAGCCGGCCUACUGGUUUCGGAGCGCAGCACAUAUUUUGCGCUUUGUAUCAGGAGAAAAGGACGGUAAUCCAUCAAGACUCUACAUUUUUAACUUUUGACCUCGGAUCAGGUAGGGAUACCCGCUGAACUUAAGCAUAUCAAUAAGCGGAGGAAAAGAAACCAACAGGGAUUGCCCUAGUAACGGCGAGUGAAGCGGCAACAGCUCAAAUUUGAAAUCUGGCUCUUUCAGAGUCCGAGUUGUAAUUUGCAGAGGGCGCUUUGGCUUUGGCAGCGGUCCAAGUUCCUUGGAACAGGACGUCACAGAGGGUGAGAAUCCCGUACGUGGUCGCUAGCUAUUGCCGUGUAAAGCCCCUUCGACGA